AAGACCUUGCACUUUUGGAGCGGCCGAUGUCUGAUUAGCUAGUUGGUGGGGUAAUGGCCUACCAAAGCUCCGAUCAGUAGCUGGUCUGAGAGGACGGCCAGCCACACUGGGACUGAGACACGGCCCAGACUCCUACGGGAGGCAGCAGUGGGGAAUUUUGGACAAUGGGCGCAAGCCUGAUCCAGCCAUGCCGCGUGAGUGAAGAAGGCCUUCGGGUUGUAAAGCUCUUUCAGCCGGGAAGAAAAGGUUGCGACUAAUAAUCGCAAUCCAUGACGGUACCGAAAGAAGAAGCACCGGCUAACUACGUGCCAGCAGCCGCGGUAAUACGUAGGGUGCGAGCGUUAAUCGGAAUUACUGGGCGUAAAGGGUGCGCAGGCGGUUUUGUAAGUCAGAUGUGAAAUCCCCGGGCUUAACCUGGGAACU
rnacentral:rRNA from 1 species